CCAACUGAUUUUUUUCACAGGUUAGAUUUCAGCCAGGUUGGAACAGAGCACCACUUCUGACACAGAAGACCUUUGUGGCUUGGGCAGAGAGGGAAGACAAAACUACCCCAUCCAGCAGGCCAGACUAAGAUCAAAUUAGUCCUGAAACUAUAGCUUGACACAAGAAUACCAGUCAGUGAACUAUUUUAAUUAUUAAACCAGGAAUCUUGAAAGCUUUUGUAGAAGCUUACAUAUAAACAUGCUCAUAGUGAUAUGAUACAAGAGGAGGAGAUGGAAAAUAAUGUAUCUCUAUUUAAUAUUUAUGCUCUGACCAGCCAGUGAAGUUCACAGUAAGCGAGAAUGGAUGAACGACAUGACACUGACAUGCAGCUGACAUGCAGAACAUAUUUUAUCAGGUAAAAACAAAACAAACAAAAAAAAAGGUUCUAAUUUACCUAAAAGCAUAGCAUUACCAGCCAGCUGAAGAAAUCUGAAAACCCUCUGGCUCAUGCACAAGCGCAAGACUUUUAUAAGAGUUACUCUGGAGGAGAUACUGGAGAAGAGCUCUCCAGAGAAUUUCACUUUGCACUCUGAAGACAUGGUCUGCUCAUUCUUCCACAAGACACUGUCUUUGUGGGAAAGUUUGCAGUCUGCCAACAUGUUUAGCUGACAGUUCCCGUGAUGUAAGUUCCUCUCUUUCAUGUGUACCAACCAGUGCCAAUAUCAGCACAGCUGGACGAGCUGUUCAUGCUUGUACUUGCUGAGUUACUGGAGCCAUGAACAGAGAGAGGGUUUGAAGAACACAGAAGACCAAUGAGCUCUCCAGCUGUGCUGGAGUCAUCAAUGGUACUCACGUACCCAUAGGUUUUGCUUUUCAUGUGGUGGUUCAGACAUUAAUAUGAAAGCCACCUGCAGACUUCUCUGGGAGAAAAAGGAUAUACUGUAUGGAUGAUGUUCAGUGUUAAUACCUUGACACAGAAAAGCUAUCAGUGAGAUUUCUCAAUCAAGCAUUCUCUCUGGUGACUAGCUUCUCUGUAGUUACUCUUCCACAGGAUACUUGGGAGAAGACAGUUUAAUUACACUUCAGACAUGCUGCAUGGUUGCUUUGUAUGCUUAGGAUCAAGACCAUUUGUACUGGACAUUUGUACAAAAUGAUAAAAGUGAAAACAUGUAUGUGCAAUGGCCCAGCCAGGUGCCAGUAAAGCCUCCCACCCACCUAGCUCUCCAAACAGCUCAUACACCCUGCUUCAACAUCUAAUUAAACUGCACAGAGUGCUGCACUAAGGCAGCUAUGCUCCUUCUGGCAACCAAGCUUUUAUAGUUUGGUCAGGUAUUUUUGCAGUACACUGACGUGCAGACCUAAUCGAGGCGACUGUUAUUGCUGGGCAAACAAGGGAAACAAAAUGAUGGCUUUUAUAGUUGUAAGCUUACACAUUGGACUGACAUGCAUGUGAAAAAAAAGGAAAUGUGUGACUCUGCACGUGAAUUAUUUACAGCUCCAAUGUGAUUACAAAAGAGGUAGGUUUUUUUUUUGUUAAAAGCCGUGUGAUGUUAUCUUCUUUCUCAAAUACCUCUGCUAACUUGAAGGUUCCAAUAAACAAAGUAACUGUUUUCUGGCA